rnacentral:rRNA from 1 species
GCUCCUUGGGUGACGAGUGGCGGACGGGUGAGUAAUGUCUGGGAAACUGCCUGAUGGAGGGGGAUAACUACUGGAAACGGUAGCUAAUACCGCAUAACGUCGCAAGACCAAAGAGGGGGACCUUCGGGCCUCUUGCCAUCAGAUGUGCCCAGAUGGGAUUAGCUAGUAGGUGGGGUAACGGCUCACCUAGGCGACGAUCCCUAGCUGGUCUGAGAGGAUGACCAGCCACACUGGAACUGAGACACGGUCCAGACUCCUACGGGAGGCAGCAGUGGGGAAUAUUGCACAAUGGGCGCAAGCCUGAUGCAGCCAUGCCGCGUGUAUGAAGAAGGCCUUCGGGUUGUAAAGUACUUUCAGCGGGGAGGAAGGUGUUGAGGUUAAUAACCUCAGCAAUUGACGUUACCCGCAGAAGAAGCACCGGCUAACUCCGUGCCAGCAGCCGCGGUAAUACGGAGGGUGCAAGCGUUAAUCGGAAUUACUGGGCGUAAAGCGCACGCAGGCGGUCUGUCAAGUCGGAUGUGAAAUCCCCGGGCUCAACCUGGGAACUGCAUUCGAAACUGGCAGGCUUGAGUCUUGUAGAGGGGGGUAGAAUUCCAGGUGUAGCGGUGAAAUGCGUAGAGAUCUGGAGGAAUACCGGUGGCGAAGGCGGCCCCCUGGACAAAGACUGACGCUCAGGUGCGAAAGC